rnacentral:rRNA from 1 species
CCUACGGGAGGCAGCAGUAGGGAAUAUUGGGCAAUGGACACAAGUCUGACCCAGCCAUGCCGCGUGCAGGAUGAAGGCGUUAUGCGUUGUAAACUGCUUUUAUACAGGAAGAAACGACUCUUGCGAGAGGCAUUGACGGUACUGUAUGAAUAAGCACCGGCUAACUCCGUGCCAGCAGCCGCGGUAAUACGGAGGGUGCAAGCGUUGUCCGGAUUUAUUGGGUUUAAAGGGUGCGCAGGUGGUUUAUUAAGUCAGUGGUGAAAGACGGUCGCUCAACGAUUGCAGUGCCAUUGAAACUGGUAGACUUGAGUAAAGUAGAGGUGGGCGGAAUUGAUAGUGUAGCGGUGAAAUGCAUAGAUAUUAUCAAGAACUCCAAUUGCGUAGGCAGCUCACUUGGCUUUUACUGACACUCAUGCACGAAAGUGUGGGUAUCAAACAGGAUUAGAUACCCUGGUAGUCCACACUGUAAACGAUGAUAACUAGGUGUCGGCCGAAUCUGGUCGGUGCCACAGCGAAAGCGUUAAGUUAUCCACCUGGGGAGUACGCCGGCAACGGUGAAACUCAAAGGAAUUGACGG